rfam:Photobacterium iliopiscarium strain ATCC 51761 CFSAN029430_contig0000, whole genome shotgun sequence.
AAAUGCAACACCAAGUAAAAGUUAAACUAAAAGUUACAGUGACGUUUUCGUUUUGUAUCUCUGUGUUUCCCUUGUAUUGGCAGUAACAUUAAUAAUUUAACCACGUAGCACAUCGCAUUUUAGCGGUUAAUUAAUCUCAACUAAUAAGGGACAUCACAUGUCUAAUCAAACAACUGGUCUAGUAAAAUGGUUUAACGAAGAGAAAGGUUUUGGUUUCAUUACUCAAGACAACGGCGGCGCUGACGUAUUCGUUCACUUCCGUGCUAUCGCUUCUGAAGGUUUCAAAACUCUUGCUGAAGGCCAAAAAGUGUCUUUUGAAGUAGAGCAAGGCCAAAAAGGUCUUCAAGCUGCAAACGUUGUAGCUCUAUAAUUUAUCUUUAUUGAUAAAUGAAAAAAAUGCUGGCUAAGGCCGGCAUUUUUUA